rnacentral:piRNA from 1 species
UCAGUUAUCUUUGGCAGCAAA